CACUGAGCGAGGUUCGAAGCUGCGAUCUGCCGAUCGCAAGAAUGUUGACUGGACGGACGCUCUGCGGGUAGUGCCACCCAUCCAUCCCCGACCCACCGUCCCUUAUAGACCUUGUUUUAUAACGGUCGACGCGACAGCAAAGAGAGAAACUGCACCCAGCGAGGUUCGAAGCUGCGAUCUGCCGAUCGCAAGAAUGUUGACUGGACGGACGCUCUGCGGGUAGUGCCACCCAUCCAUCCCCGACCCACCGUCCCCCUUAGGCCGUGUUAUAUAAGGCUCUGCCGGUCGACGCGACAGCAAAGAAAAACAGCCCCGAGAGAGGUUCGAAGCUGCGAUCUGCCGAUCGCAAGAAUGUUGACUGGACGGACGCUCUGCGGGUAGUGCCACCCAUCCAUCCCCGACCCACCGUCCCCCUUAGGCCGUGUUAUAUAAGGCUCUGCCGGUCGACGCGACAGCAAAGAAAAACAGCCCCGAGAGAGGUUCGAAGCUGCGAUCUGCCGAUCGCAAGAAUGUUGACUGGACGGACGCUCUGCGGGUAGUGCCACCCAUCCAUCCCCGACCCACCGUCCCUUAUAGACCUUGUUUUAUAACGGUCGACGCGACAGCAAAGAGAGAAACUGCACCCAGCGAGGUUCGAAGCUGCGAUCUGCCGAUCGCAAGAAUGAUGACGGGACGGACGCUCUGCGGGUAGUGCCACCCAACCAACCCCGACCCACUGUCCCUCUUAGGCCGUGUUAUUAAGGCUGUCGA